UUACAGUACAAUUAAUAGACAGUAAAUCAGAUUAAAGCCAAAGUAAAAAUUAAAAGAGGAUUAGGGUUUUUACAUGUGACGCUUCCACUUUGUUUAACACUCUCAGACUCAUCUCUUUCAAACGGCGACGGUGAUGGCGACGGCUCAAGCUUCGUCUCUGAUGAACUCUUCACCGGUCACGCUUCGCCGUGGGCACCUUCCGACCACCAGGAACUCUCCCUCUCUGUUCUAUCGAUCUCAUCUCCGAUUCAUUUCUCAAACACAUCACCUCCAUCUCGGUUUUCGCUCUCUCGGUUUAUUCCUCUCAAUCUCGCCUUCGAUUCGACUCAACUCUCACUCUCCUCUUCUUCUACAAUAAAGGUUGUUGAUGCACAGAGGCAGUGAUGAUGAUGAAUGCGUCGCGAAGCGAACCAAAUCUAACAUCGUUACAUGGUGAAUCAGGUUUGUUGAUGGAGAACCACGGUGAUUGUAAAAGAGGUAGCGUUUCUGUUAGGCGAAUUCUUCGGAGAUCGCGAUAUCAGAGAAGGCGAUGAUUUGGUGAUGAAGAUCAAAACCGUUGAAGGUCUAGCGACAAGUACGUGUUUGAAUUUGUUUGUGGUUCUGAGCAGAUGAAGAUGAUGAUGAUCUUGUACCACGAUUUCACUUUCUAUAGAUUUGAAGUUGACGAUGAAAUCACAGAUUGUAACAUGAAGGAGCGACAGUUAUCGUGAUGAAUAUUGAAGGAGGAAAUUGAAGUCGUGUUUAAAUAUUGAACGCAGACGAUGACCGAUUGUUACGAAGAGGUAUAGAUGAUCCUUGAAUCAAGGUUUUUGGUAAAGAUUUUCAGGUUAAAGGUUGAACGGAGAUGAUGAAUCGGUGGUUGAAGAAUGAAGAUUAAAGAUCCUUCAAUGAUGGUUUUGUGAUGAGUUCGAUAAAGAUUGUUGUUGAAGAUCUUUCCCAGAGAAUUGGAGAGCGCAUUUUUCUGUUAUGUUCUUCCCUCCAUUUUCUGUUCUGAGUUUCUUGUUAUGAAUUUUCUACAAAAUUGAUGAAUGAAUUGCAGGGAGAAAGAUGAAGAUUGACGCACCGAGAAAAGUUUGUUGCGUUUUUCAUUGGAAUUCUGUUAUCGAUUUUGUUGCUUUUUGUUACUAAUUUUUCUUUUUUCUCCUCUUUGAUAAUCUCCUCCCUUUUUUGUGUAGGUUCAUGAAUGAUAUUAUGGUGAAUCUUGUAGUAAUCGAAGGAUUGAACCGAGGGAGCAUUGAAGAUAUCAACUGGUGUCGAUUCCAAAUGGAAGAAUGAAGAGAGUUUUUGUGAUGAAGCCCUUAGCUUUCACUGAUUUUUCUGUUAUGAUUCUUUUCUGCCACCGCCACCCCCAUUGUCUUUGAAUUUGGGCCUCGAGCAUAUAUUAUUUUGAAGCUAAGUGGUUAGAACUGAUAUUGAAUUUUGUCACCAUGGACAAUUGCCUUUUUGUAAUGAAUAUCAUGGAAAUAUGUGAUAUAUUUGGGACAUUGGAUAUAUUUUUGUAUAGCUCUUGUAAUUUUGGUUUUUUUCUAAUGGAGUAAUGUAUUGGACAUGUAAUGAUUACUUUUGAAUUAUGCCUUUUCCUUGCAACA